GCAUUAAUGGGGUAGUGGUAACCUGGGUCGUUGCCAAGCGCAUCUGAUUGGAUAGCACUGCUCGACCCGCCGGGGGUUCGAUUCCCUCUUAAUGCA